GACGAACGCUGGCGGCGUGCCUAAUACAUGCAAGUAGAACGCUGAAGGAGGAGCUUGCUUCUCUGGAUGAGUUGCGAACGGGUGAGUAACGCGUAGGUAACCUGCCUGGUAGCGGGGGAUAACUAUUGGAAACGAUAGCUAAUACCGCAUAAUAGUAGAUGUUGCAUGACAUUUGCCUAAAAGGUGCAAUUGCAUCACUACCAGAUGGACCUGCGUUGUAUUAGCUAGUUGGUGGGGUAACGGCUCACCAAGGCGACGAUACAUAGCCGACCUGAGAGGGUGAUCGGCCACACUGGGACUGAGACACGGCCCAGACUCCUACGGGAGGCAGCAGUAGGGAAUCUUCGGCAAUAGACGGAAGGCUGAACGAGCAACGCCGCGGGAGUGAAGAAGGUUUUCGGAUCGUAAAGCUCUGUUGUAAGAGAAGAACGAGUGUGAGAGUGGAAAGUUCACACUGUGACGGUAUCUUACCAGAAAGGGACGGCUAACUACGUG
rnacentral:rRNA from 1 species